GGAGUCCGUCGCUUUUCUGGGUCAUGUUGUUUCCAGUGAGGGGAUUCAGGUGGACCCCCAAAAGAUUGCGGCGGUGAAGGAUUGGCCUAGACCCACAACCCCGACGGAGAUCCGUAGCUUUUUGGGGUUAACAUGGUAUUAUCGGGGGUUUGUAGAGGGAUUCUCCACCCUCGCCUCCCCAUUGACCAAAUUGACGCAGAAAUCAUCCAAGUUCCAGUGGUCAGAUGCUUGUGAGAAAAGUUUUCAAGUACUGAAGACAAGGUAGACUUCGGCACCAGUGUUGGCUUUGCCAGAGGGCACUGAGGGAUUUGUGGUUUAUUGUGAUGCGGCGGGUCAGAGGCUCCUAGCUCGAGAGAUACAUCAGUUGGCCAGCCUUGGGGUUUGUAUCUCGGCCCCGAAUGAGGAGGAACUUAUGGUGCAUGAUACAGCGCAAUCGUCACUCGUGGCUAAGGUUAAAGAAAAGCAGUUUGUUGAUCCAGCAUUGGCACAGUUGAAGGAGGCAGUUCUAAGCAACAGAAUUUUUGUAUUUUCGCUCGGCACCUAUGAUGGUGUGCUACGGUGCCAUGACAAGCUGUGUGUCCCAGACGUGGAUAAUCUUCGGGAGAGGAUAAUGGCAGAGGCUCAUCAUUCCAGGUAUUCGGUGCACCCAGGCUCUACGAAGAUGUAUCACAAUCUCAAGGAUACCUAUUGGCGGAAUGGUAUGAAUAAGAGUGUAGCCGACUUCGUCUCUAAGUGUCCGAAUUGCCAGUAAGUGAAGACUGAGCAUCAGCGUCCGGGAGGGUUGACUCGGCUUAUAAAAAUAACGAUGUGGAAAUGGGAAGUGAUCAAUAGGGACUUCAUGACACGGCUACCACGUACUCAGCACAAGUUCAACUCAAUUUGGGUAAUUGUGGAUAGGCUCACAAAAUUGGCUAGUGCACCCGGCUCUACGAAAUGUAUCACGAUCUCAAGGUACCUAUUGGUGGAGUGGUAUGAAGAAGAGCGUAGCAGACUUUGUCUCUAAGUGUCCGAAUUGCCAGCAAGUGAAGGCCGAGCAUCAGCGGCCGACAGGGUUGACUCAUCUUAUAGAAAUACCAAUGUGGAAAUGGGAAAUGAUCAAUAUGGACUUCGUGACAGGACUACCUUGUACUCAGCACAACUUCGACUCAAUUUGGG
rnacentral:lncRNA from 1 species